rnacentral:rRNA from 2 species
AGUCUGAUGGAGCAACGCCGCGUGAGUGAAGAAGGCUUUCGGGUCGUAAAACUCUGUUGUUGGAGAAGAAUGGUCGGCAGAGUAACUGUUGUCGGCGUGACGGUAUCCAACCAGAAAGCCACGGCUAACUACGUGCCAGCAGCCGCGGUAAUACGUAGGUGGCAAGCGUUAUCCGGAUUUAUUGGGCGUAAAGCGAGCGCAGGCGGUUUUUUAAGUCUGAUGUGAAAGCCCUCGGCUUAACCGAGGAAGUGCAUCGGAAACUGGGAAACUUGAGUACAGAGGAGGACAGUGGAACUCCAUGUGUAGCGGUGAAAUGCGUAGAUAUAUGGAAGAACACCAGUGGCGAAGGCGGCUGUCUGGUCUGUAACUGACGCUGAGGCUCGAAAGCAUGGGUAGCGAACAGGAUUAGAUACCCUGGUAGUCCAUGCCGUAAACGAUGAAUGCUAGGUGUUGGAGGGUUUCCGCCCUUCAGUGCCGCAGCUAACGCAUUAAGCAUUCCGCCUGGGGAGUACGACCGCAAGGUUGAAACUCAAAGGAAUUGACGGGGGCCCGCACAAGCGGUGGAGCAUGUGGUUUAAUUCGAAGCAACGCGAAGAACCUUACCAGGUCUUGACAUCUUUUGAUCACCUGAGAGAUCAGGUUUCCCCUUCGGG